GAGAGAAGGGGGAAAGGGAGAAAGAGUUUGAGGAAGUUAUUGGACUUAGUAGCUCGGUGAGAAAACAUUGAGGAUCUGGAGUUCUUCUUCUCCUACCGAUGCCACUAAGUCCCAUGAUUUCCUCUGCCUCCUCCUUUUCCCACCUUUUUUC